AGCAGCCGCGGUAAUUCCAGCUCCAAUAGCGUAUAUUAAAGUUGUUGCAGUUAAAAAGCUCGUAGUUGAAUUUCGGGGUUCUUCCGUUGGUCAGGCUAACAAGUCUGUACUAGCGUGUAGAAUCUCUACCUUCUGGGGAACCAUCAUGUUAUUAAUUUAGCGUGGUGGGAAACCAGGACCUUUACCUUGAAAAAUUAGAGUGUUCAAAGCAGGCUUACGUCUGAAUACAUUAGCAUGGAAUAAUAAAAUAGGACGGUGGUCCUGUUUUGUUGGUUUCUGAAUCACCGUAAUGAUUAAUAGGGAUAGUUGGGGGCAUUAGUAUUCAAUUGUCAGAGGUGAAAUUCUUGGAUUUAUUGAAGACUAACUUCUGCGAAAGCAUUUGCCAAGGAUGUUUUCAUUAAUCAAGAACGAAAGUUAGGGGAUCGAAGACGAUCAGAUACCGUCGUAGUCUUAACCAUAAACUAUGCCGACUAGGGAUCGGACGAUGUUAAAUUUUAUUGACUCGUUC
rnacentral:rRNA from 1 species